AUAGUCCCUCAACUAGCAGCACUAGCGUCACCUGGCAACUUAGUGGAAAUGCAAAUUCUCAGGCCCCACCCCAGAGUUCCAGAAUCAGAAUCUCCGGGGCUGGAGUCUGGCAAUCUGUGUUCACAAGUCCCCCUCUUCCCAGGGAAAAUCUGGAUGGAAACAUGCUAGAGAAGCCACCGAAAUCUAAAUGCAGGGCCCUCCCAGCAAACAAACCAUGAGGCAGGAAACAUCAGUAUAAAUGGAGUGAGAGUCAUGGAGCCUGGACAAACUGAGGAGAAAGAACAGGAAAAGGAAAGAAGGUGGACAAGGCAGAUAGGAAACAUGAAGAGCAGUCCUCCAACAGUUUCUCCAGGGAGAAGCAGCAGUGUCUUUCCCUCCACCCCCGCUGCAGCAGUCUGUCCCUACAGGCAUGAUUUUAGGAAUCUUCUCAGGAGAGCAGGUAAGGAAUGCACAUUUGGCACCGGAAUGACUCCAAAAACUCAAGGCUGUUAGUCACCAGAAAAUGACACUCAGGGAACUUAUGAAAUACCCUGCAGGGGUUUUUAAAAAGUAGAUUACAUUCCAUUCCCUCAGUCUGGCUGGGGGUGUGGCCUGAACUCCCCAACAAAGUUCAAAGUCCUUUUGUAGUUGCAGGAGUGAGGGAGUCACACUGUCUUCCCUGGGGCAAGGGAGGGGAGCGAGGCAAGAUCAGAGUGACCACCACUCCCAUGGAACCAAGGCCCCCCAGUAUGGAAAACAGUGCCCUGGCCUUGGUGUCUGCCAGCCCGGCCACCAUGCAGUGACGGCCAGCAGGUACAGGCAGCCAGCUCACAAAGGGGCCGGAUACCUGAAGGAGCACCUCAUACCCCUCUUUCUGCAAGAGGGGUCCCGGCCCUCCUCCUCUACUCCUAAGUAAAUAUUCAAAGCAAUCUAGCUCGGAUCUAAAAUGCAUUUUGUCAGCCCAAAUAAUUGAGGCUUUUAAUUUUCUCCUUUUAAGCACCAGAAACAAAGGUUUCUAACCAGUAGUUAAAAUUUAUCAAAAACACAAAGGUCCCUGGCACUGGCCGGCAGGGUAAACAGCAGGUAAAUGAAUGCAGUGAUUCCAGAACCAAAAGGCAGCACCCCUUCGCACAGAAUGCUGUUAUUCAGCUAUUUACAUUUAAAUCUUUAUCAAAUUCUUUCAACAGGCAAACAAUGAAACAUAACAAAACCUAAAAGAAAAUCUUCCUUACUUCCAAAAAAUAACAAUUCUACUCAAUAUCCAAUACUAGAAAAGGCCUUACUCCGAUAAACUGCACAGAAAUAAAUUACUAUCCCCAGUAAAGCUUCAUCUCUCACUGUACAAUUUAUAAACAAAUAUUCGCAGAUGCCCAUUUCUUUUCCCUUUAAGAAAAAUUCACAACUUUCCUUACAUUUUAAAUCCAUUCAUUUCCUUAAAUUUUUUUCCCCAAAGCAACAUCUCCAUUGAAGAAAACUAAUCAGGCCCAUUUAGACUCGUUCCUAGAGAAAAGUUCACAAGCCCAAGGUCUAAACAAAAUCUUUCCAGAAAGAAGAAAACUAAGUCAACUAUGUUAGAGAUGAAUUACUAGCUCAAGAAUCUUGAGAUAACAUAAAAACUACUAUGACUGUGGAUGAAUUAGCAGUUUUAAAUGCCCCAGGAAGGUAAAACCUCCGCCCCCACCAAGAAAAGUCUUACCAGGCGGCAUUAAUUCCUUAUACGCAGGCCGUCUCAGUUAGAAGACACCAAACAUGAAGGGUGAGAUAAAGCCGGAAAACUCAAGCGCAUGAGCAGUUCUGAAGACGAUGCGGAGGUCUUGGCUGCUGCCACGGGUAACUUUCCACUUUCAGGUGCCAAGGGGAGAGAGGACUAACUUUAACUGGACCCCCAGGAAAGUGCACCCCAGGUGUGCUCCUCUCUAGAAAAGCCGUCUCACUUCACAUCUUUGCUGCCUAAGGAACCUGCCACCUGGACACCACUCUUCAGCUUCUCAGAACCCUGCAGUUACCUCCGCAGUUAGACCCUACCUUAUAUGGGGCUCCGUAUAAGGCAGCGCCACUUGUCAGCGUCCCUCCACCUUCAGUCAAUGUUUGGAGGUACGCCCUGUCUUAACCCUUCAACAGUUCAUCUUUUCCCUGUGCACACUGCUUCCUCUUCUGCUGCUUUGGGCUCAUGCAAGAUGCAGUUGGCUGUAAGUUUCUCAGAAGGAAUCUGCAGUUUCACUCAAGACAAAUACAUUAUUAGGCUCCUUGUACGUGGAGGCCCUUACUAGUGUAUCAUGUAGUCAAGGGACAUCUAAAUUCUUACCAACUUCUUAGACCAAUCAAAUAAUAAAAUCUUAAAAUACCAAAAACAUGGAUUCAUCUUUCUUCUAAGAAAGACCUAAUAAUCCACUACAGUUUGGUUUUUUCCACAAAAAGUGUAAAAUAAAGUCAGUGUUAUAGGCUGAAUUGUGCAUCCUCUUUCAAAUCCAUAUGUUGAAGGCCUUACUCCCUGCAUCUCAAAAUGUGACUGUAUUUGGAGAUAAGGCCUUUAAAGAGGUGGUUACAUUAAAAUGAGGCCAGCAGGGUGGUCUUAAUCCAAUCUGACUAGUAUCCUUAUAAGAGGAAAUUUGGACACAGAGAGAGAGAGACCAGGACUGGUGUCCUUAUAAGAGGAAAUAUGGACAUAGACCGACACCACAUGAGUAGACAAAGCGAGCAGACAGACAUCAGCAAGCCAAGGAGAGAGGCCUCAAGAAACAACCCUGCUGGCAACUUCAUCUUGAACUUCUAGCCUCCAGAACUGCGAGGAAUAAAUUUCUACUGUUUAAGCCAAUCUAUGGUAUUUUGUUACGGCAGCCCGAGCAAACUAACAGAGCUGGAAAGAGAAAACAGGAGCUAAGUGACCAAGUAAUUCAGCAAGACAACAGUAUAAGACGCAACAUCAGUCCAAACAGUCCUCAGGUGGGUGAUUCCAGGGGAGAAAAAGGGUGACCCCCCUUGGGUCCCGUGUCCUUCCCCGGGGACACACAGCUUGACCGACAAACCACAUUCUCAGCCUGGCUCCUUCUACAAUGCAGGGCCCGAGGACAGCAGCCCCGCCCUGUGGACAGAGAGACCUGGCAGGUGAGGUGGGCCCAGCAGGAUGGAGAAGAUUUGCUGGCAGAGAAGAUGAGGGGUAGCAAAGAGAGGCCAUGUGCAUUAAGAGGACAUUCAAAAGCCCAAGUGAGAGAGAACGAAUAAACAAACAGGACAAGGGGCAUAAAGAACAACCCCACAAUCUGUAAUUAGCAAAUACACAUUUGAAAUAUUGGCCAAUCUCCCCUUAAGUUAGGAAAAAUAAAAAAUUUUUAACACGAUGCUGUUUACGCAAAAAUAAGCACAUUCAGAACACUGGUAUUAAUAGCCAUCAUAAUUCACCGACAGGAGCACUGAAGUUUAGGGAGGGAGAGCCGUAACCCGCCCAAGAUCGAGUGGCUGCCAGAGGCAGAAGCUAGACAGAAACUCAGGUUUUUCUAGUACAGGGCUUCUCAACUGGGGGGUGACUCCAUCAUAAAAGGGACAUUUGGCAAUGCGUAGUGACAUCUUUAAUUGUCACAACAGGAGGAGGUGCUAGUGAUACCUACUGGACAGAGGCCAGGGAUGCAGCAGACACAACGCACAAGUCGGCCUCCAGCAACAAGUUACCAUCCAGCUCAACUGUCAACAGGGCCACCCUAGCGAACUUCUGCUCUAGCACCAAAACCACUGCAACCACAUUUUCGCAACCUUUUUCUAAGUUUGAAAUAAUUUCCAAAAAAA